GGGGAAGUGUCGGAAUUGGCAGACGAGCAUGACUUAGGAUCAUGUGCUUCAAAAGGCGUGGGGGUUCGAGUCCCCCCUUCCCCACUA
rnacentral:tRNA from 1 species